UACGUAGGGUGCGAGCGUUAAUCGGAAUUACUGGGCGUAAAGCGUGCGCAGGCGGUUCGUUAAGACAGAUGUGAAAUCCCCGGGCUCAACCCGGGAACUGCGUCCGAUACUGGCAGGCUUGAAUCCGGGAGAGGGAUGUGGAAUUCCAGGUGUAGCGGUGAAAUUCGUAGAUAUUGGCUGGAACACCGGUGGCGAAAGCGGCUCUCUGGCCCGGUUCGUGACGCUGAGGCGCGAAAGCGUGGGAUCA
rnacentral:rRNA from 1 species